rnacentral:misc_RNA from 1 species
GAUGAAGAACGCAGCGAAAUGCGAUAAGUAGUGUGAAUUGCAGAAUUCAGUGAAUCAUCGAAUCUUUGAACGCACAUUGCGCCCCCUGGUAUUCCGGGGGGCAUGCCUGUCCGAGCGUCAUUGCUGCCCUCAAGCACGGCUUGUGUGUUGGGCUUCCGUCCCUGGCAACGGGGACGGGCCCAAAAGGCAGUGGCGGCACCAUGUCUGGUCCUCGAGCGUAUGGGGCUUUGUCACCCGCUCCCGUAGGUCCAGCUGGCAGCUAGCCUCGCAACCAAUCUUUUUAACCAGGUUGACCUCGGAUCAGGUAGGGAUACCCGCUGAACUUAAGCAUAUCAAUAAGCGGAGGA